rnacentral:rRNA from 1 species
GUAGGUGGCAAGCGUUGUCCGGAUUUAUUGGGCGUAAAGCGAGCGCAGGCGGUUUCUUAAGUCUGAUGUGAAAGCCCCCGGCUCAACCGGGGAGGGUCAUUGGAAACUGGGAGACUUGAGUGCAGAAGAGGAGAGUGGAAUUCCAUGUGUAGCGGUGAAAUGCGUAGAUAUAUGGAGGAACACCAGUGGCGAAGGCGGCUCUCUGGUCUGUAACUGACGCUGAGGCUCGAAAGCGUGGGGAGCAAAC